UAAAUUUUCUGUUUCUGCAUUUACUUUCCCCUUGAGUUUACGAAUUAUGAUGACGCGAUGCUCUGUAUAAUUUUUAUUUUUAUUUUUGGUAAUUUAUGCCGAAGUCCAAAUACAUUAAAAACUAAGUAGUUAUGAAAUAUACAAAUAAGGCAUGAUGAUGACCCCUACAAUAUCCCAAACAAAAAUAAAUCAAGUCCGGAAGGAUAGCCUUCUAGUACGUGAACACCUCAAGGAAGCUUUCAACGCAUUGUUCGUCAACCAAUUUGCACAGAUAUUCCCUUCUCGAUAUACAUGCUGGGGCACAAUCGACCACUCUCGAAGGAUAGUGCACGAAUAUCCUUAAUUAAAGCUUCAUUCUUGACAGCUUGUUCUCGAUUCGAUCGCAAUAGUUGGCAAACCACCUCAGAAUCAACUUCAAGAAUGAGCUUCCUUACCCGCAAGCCCCAGGCAAACUGCAGACCCGAUUUCACCGCCCAAAGUUCCGCUGCAAUGGAAGUGGCAAUCCCAGUGUUUUAAGCAAACCCUCCCAUCCAAUUUCCCCAGCAUCAGCUCGAAGGAGACCUCCAGCAGCCACCAACCCGGGUUUCACGGUCCGUGUUGAGCUUAUACCAUCCAUUUGGUGGCUUACACCAGCCCACUUGCUUCCAAGACCGUGGUGGACGAUCAAGCUUAGCAGCUUCAGCUUUCUUUGCUGUGUUGUGAAUUGAGCCUACUAAAACAAGUUGUUUUGAAGGCGUAAAGCAGUCGGGAUAUUGAUUUACAUGAAACCACUGGGUCACACAAACCAUGACAUUGAUUUAUGUUAUCGCGAGUCAGGAUUCAGGUCUUCCAUCUUUUUUGCGUGUUCUGAAGUCUCGAAUGGAACAGAAUCGGAGCCGUUGGGGCAGAUCCUGUUGCUGCCCCCACAGCAUGAAGAAUGGCUCCUCCUUCAACUACUCCAUCAUGAAGCUGCAUGAUCACACCGGAACCCAUGUCGAUGCCCCUGGCCACUACCUCAAUCACUACUUCAAAGCUGGGUUCGACGUUGAUACGGUAGAUCUUGAAGUCCUUAAUGGCAUGUAACUCCAAGAAAAAUUGAUACAAUGAAUCCCCACUGAUGCCAGGGUUCUAGCAAGAUCGCUGAAGUUAAUCUCAGACAUUUCUUAACUCCAUUUUUAGGUCCAGCACCACUGAUCGAUGUUCCGCGGGACAAGAACAUUACUGGCUUACUUAAGUAAGGCCGAAUCUUACAGCUGAAGUGAUGGAGUCCCUAAAGAUCCCCAGGGGCGUCAGGCGCAUGCUCUUCGGAACUCUAAACACCGAUAGGGGCCUCAUGUAUGAGAACUUCUUCACGAGCUUUGUGAGGUUCAAGGAGGACGGGACCAAAUGGUUAGUAGAGAACACGGAUGUCAAAUUAAUUGGUAGGGACCUGAAUCCUCUCCUAUCUUCAGGAUAUUUUCUCGUUUUCCUUCGAGGCAACGUUUUGCUUAACAGGACUCUGCAACAUAGAACAUCCGAUGGUUCGAAGACUUCACGCUCUAAUGUCAGGUGAAAAAGUGCAGGAAUCGAUUCCAUGUCUGUUGCUGCAAUUGACGAUCUCAUCACAUCUCACCUUGUCCUCCUCAGAAGCAGGGCAAGAACAUUCGUUCUUUGUUUAAAUUAAAUUCCAGAAAAGGAAAGAAGAAAACUCGCGUUUUGUUUAGCACAAACAGGUUUCCAUUAUCUUUUAUGUCACUCUUCUUGGGUGGAAACUGAUAUCAGGAGAUUAUUCUGGUGGAAGGCUUAAAACUCGAUGAUGUUCCAGCAGGAAUAUACGAUGUUCAUUGCUUGCCCCUGAGGCUGCCUGGUCCCAAGGGAUCGCCAGUAAGAUGCAUCCUCAUGAAAUGAUUUCUCAGGGUGUGAGUUUCUCCGCGUCUAAAGGAUUCAAUUGUUGCAGGAAGAAAGGUGCUGCACAUAUAGGUGACGAGAUCACUUCUUAGCCCAAGAUGGUUGUGGAAGAAAAUGUAACUCUAUGUUCAUGUUAGAGAAACACAACUAUAUACGAGGCAAUGUAAUACUUCAGUGUACAACAAAAAGGCCUUGAAUUCAUGUUAAUCUCUUGAGAAAGCGAAAAAAAAAAAUUCCUGAUAUGAAAAGGUUCUUGAAGCGAAAAUUGCAGGCACAGACUACCAAACCGAACUGUUCAUAUAUAAAACCUAUGUAUGAGUAACCCAGUCCAUGAAUGUGAAUAUUUUUCUCAAGGGUUUCUUCCAAGCGGGGCAGUGAAAGGUAAAGGCCAGGAUAAGAGCCCGAUCAGUAAACAGAACGUUUUCAUUAUCGAUCACAACUCAGGGGAUCGUCCAAGUUAUGUGGCAUAUGACUGUGGAAAGAGAUUCAGAAAAUGCAAGGCAAAAGGGGGUCCUAGAAACUUUAGUUGCUGAAACCGGUUUGGCAAGCUAUCCGGAAAACAACUCGCGCUUGGUCUGCUCAAUGGUUACUUUGCUCUCGGAGACGAUUCACAUCCAAGAUGGGUCCAGAACACUGAAAAACAAGGUGAAAGCAACAGAAACUGAUCAUACUCCCUGCACCGUGCUUCCUAAAUCGAUCUUCCGGAAGACCUCAAUAGAAAUCAGUCUCGGACACAGAGUUCCAAUUCAUUCUUAGACUCACAAAAACUGGCAAAACGUUUUCAAAAAAGUAGUUGAUGGGGUUCAACCGUUUGACAUGCUAAAUGAAAACUGACUUGAUCCAAUGAGCAAGUCGAAAAAGUGCUGAAUGAUUGAGUAACUCCAACGUUUGAAAGACAAGUAGACAAGCACCUAUGCACCAUCCAAUCCCAUCACAUGCUUCCCUUUCGACAUCAACCACCCAUCCCGGCUCAAGGAUGGGCCCGGGUUUCAACCUAAAAAAAAAAUCUCACAGAUAUUUUACCACGAUAGGAAUAUAAUAUGUCCUAAUUAUUCUCUAAAUAAUUUAUAUUCACAGAUAUUUUUUUUCCCCGGUGAAGAUAGAAAAUUUAACUUCGAUGUUAAGCUUCACCAAAUUUGUCAGUAACCCCCUUUUCUUUUC